rnacentral:rRNA from 1 species
CAGCACCUCAAGUGGUCAGGAUGAUUAUUGGGCCUAAAGCAUCCGUAGCCGGCGCUGUAAGUUUUCGGUUAAAUCUGUACGCUCAACGUACAGGCUGCCGGGAAUACUGCAGCGCUAGGGAGUGGGAGAGGUAGACGGUACUCGGUAGGAAGGGGUAAAAUCCUUUGAUCUAUUGAUGACCACCUGUGGCGAAGGCGGUCUACCAGAACACGUCCGACGGUGAGGGACGAAAGCCAGGGGAGCAAACCGGAUUAGAUACCCGUGUAGUCC